GUGGGGCCCUAUCGAAGCUGCGUUUUGUUGACUGUGACAAAAUGCAGUCAAAAUGAGGCCUAAAUUAAAUUUCUGUAAUUGGUCACUGGUUAGCCGAUUUAUGGUUCUGCAGUAUUACCCAAACAGAAGACAUUU